rnacentral:rRNA from 1 species
CAAUAGCGUAUAUUAAAGUUGUUGCGGUUAAAAAGCUCGUAGUUGGAUUUCUGCUGAGAACGACCGGUCCGCCCUUUGGGUGUGUAUCUGGCUCUUUCUUGGCAUCUUCUUGGUGAACGUUGCUGCACUUGACUGUGUGGAGCGCUACCCAGGACUUUUACUUUGAGGAAAUUAGAGUGUUUCAAGCAGGCUUACGCCUUGAAUACAUUAGCAUGGAAUAAUAAGAUAGGACCUCGGUUCUAUUUUGUUGGUUUCUAGAGCUGAGGUAAUGAUUAAUAGGGAUAGUUGGGGGCAUUCGUAUUUAACUGUCAGAGGUGAAAUUCUUGGAUUUGUUAAAGACGGACUACUGCGAANGNAUUUGGNAAGGAUGUUUNCAUUG